rfam:Desulfosporosinus lacus DSM 15449 genome assembly, contig: EJ50DRAFT_scaffold00001.1
UGCGAUAAGGGCAAACUCAGUGUGAACUGGGGACGCAAAGCCACGGGUCUCGCCUUAAGUGUGGGAGAUAGCCGGGUUACCGAAC